GCAAGCCGAACGCGAAAGUUUUCUUCGGAAAGCGAGUAGAGUGCCUCCCGGGUGAGUAACGACUCAGUAAUCUACCCUGGUAUCUGGGAUAACCAACCGAAAGGUUGGCUAAUACCGGAUACGCUGGUAACAGGAAAGGUGGCCUCUUCAUGAAAGCUACUGUACCAGGAGGAGCUUGCGUACCAUUAGCUAGUUGGUAGGGUAAUGGCCUACCAAGGCGACGAUGGUUAGCGGGUCUGAGAGGAUGAUC
rnacentral:rRNA from 1 species